AGCUUUGCGCAGUGGCAUUAUUGUAGCCAAUGAGGCUUAUCCAUGGCAUGAUUAUUGCUAAUUGAAAACUACAGACUUGAUCGAGUAGGGGAAGAAUGUUUCAUAAAUGCUGUUUCAU
rnacentral:snRNA from 1 species